CCUUUACAACAAUCUCAUUUUUUGUAACAGCCCUCUCCUUCGUAAGGUUUCUCAGGCGGACAUUUUACUCAGUCAAUUCCAUCCUGCAUGCUGGAUUUCUCACUUCUUGCUUGGCACACAAGGGCUCAGGCAUACUCCGUCUUAUCACCAUCAUAUCCUCAAUGGCAGUCCUCUGAAUCUGAGUCAACUUGUUAUAGAUCUUUGGAAGCGUCAUUUGGCAUUUUGGCAGCAACCCUUUUUUACAGCUCGUCAGCCUCGGGAACCUGAGA
rnacentral:lncRNA from 1 species